rnacentral:lncRNA from 1 species
UUCAAGCAUUCCGUAAACAUAAAAUUCAAGGACCUUGCAAAUUCUUCUGAGAAAUUAUUGAAGAUCUUUUAUGUCAUGGGUUUUGAUAACAUCUUCAUUUGUAGCAAGCAUGAAGAAACAUUGCCGAGGUUUAUGACACACAAGUAUUGGUGUUCUCGCAUAACUGAAUGAAACUACAGAUUGCUUGGAUCACCAGAAACACCCCACCCAUCUGACUUCUAGUGUUAAAGCUUAAUUAUUGUGUGUUAUAAAAAGAUUGACAUGCAGUCACUGCUGUCAUUUAUGCUGGAUAAUUUGCAAUGUAGUAUAAGAAUAGUUAUUAAUUAAAUGGUACACUGGUCGAUUAGGGAUAACUGUGACCACCUGUGGUGUAGUUAAACUUGUUCAUUAUGAUUAUGAAUAAACAUUAGUAGCUUAAACAAAUACUAAUCAUAUAGAAGAAGGUUUCCUACAUGCUAUGAGAUGGUUCUCGGAAGGUAUUCGGGUUUAAUUUAGGAUUGAUAGUGGCAUAGUGCUUCUUAAACUUGGGAUGUUGCUUUGUUACAUAAGGGUGGUAUCCAAAUACUGUGGCACCAUGCUAGAGUUGAACCUGGAGUAAGUUCUACAAGCACACACAAGCGAUUGGAGUCGGACAAGUACUCUUGGCACACACAAACUAUAGAAAGGGCAUCCUUGUCGCUUUUGGAUGCUACUCAAGAACUUUAUUCAUAAUAUAUAUAUAUAUAUAUAUAUAUAUAUAUA